UCGAAUAAGAGUUUGAUCCUGGCUCAGGAUGAACGCUGGCGGCGUGUCUUAGGCAUGCAAGUCGAAUGCUCGCAAGAGCAUGGCAAACGGGUGCGUAACACAUUGGUAACCUACCCUCGAGCGGGGCAUAAUCAACCGAAAGGUUGAAUAAUACCCCAUAGUUUCGCGCGGCGCAGGCUGUGCGAAUAAAGAUUUAUCACUCGAGGAGGGGCCUAUGGUCCAUCAGCUAGUUGGUGAGGUAACGGCUCACCAAGGCAAUGACGGAUAGCGGGUAUUAACGUACGACCCGCCUCACCGGGACUGAAACACUGCCCGGACUCCUACGGGAGGCUGCAGUCAAGAAUAUUCCACAAUGCCCGAAAGGGUGAUGGAGCGACGCCGCGUGUAGGAUGAAGGCCUUCGGGUCGUAAACUACUUUUCCCAGGGAAGAAUUUCUGACGGUACCUGGGGAAUAAGGGACUGCUAACUUCGUGCCAGCAGCAGCGGUAAUACAGAGGCCUCAAGCGUUAUCCGGUGUUAUUAGGCGUAAAGCGUCCGCAGGUGGUGGCGCGCAUCUCUGGUCAAAUCCCGAAGCUCAACUUCGGGACCGCCGGAGAGAUGGCGCCGCUAGAGGCAGGGAGAGGUAAGUAGAAUGGCUGGUGUAGUAGUAAAAUGCGUUAAUAUCAGCCAGAACACCAAAAGCGAAAGCAGCUUACUGGAACUAUCCUGACACUAAGGGACGAAAGCGUGGGUAGCGAAUGGGAUUAGAUACCCCAGUAGUCCACGCCGUAAACGAUGGGUACUAGGCAUUGAGAGCUCGACCCUCCCAGUGCCGCUUAACCUAGCUAACGCAAUAAGUACCCCGCCUGGGGAGUACGGUCGCAAGACUAAAACUCAAAGGAAUUGACGGGAACCCGCACAAGCGGUGGAGCAUGUGGUUUAAUUCGACGGUAAGCGU
rnacentral:rRNA from 1 species